rnacentral:rRNA from 1 species
UACAGGGGGUGCAAACGUUGCUCGGAUUUACUGGGCGUAAAGGGCGCGUAGGCGGUAGCACAAGUCAGUUGUGAAAUCUCCGGGCUUAACUCGAAAAGGUCAACUGAUACUGUGCGACUAGAGUGCAGAAGGGGCAACUGGAAUUCUCGGUGUAGCGGUGAAAUGCGCAGAUAUCGGGAGGAACACCGGUGGCGAAGGCGGUUCUCUGGGCCUUACCUGACGCUGAGGAGCGAAAGCGUGGGGAGCGAACAGG